CCUACGGGGGGCAGCAGUGGGGAAUAUUGGACAAUGGGCGCAAGCCUGAUCCAGCCAUGCCGCGUGAGUGAUGAAGGCCUUAGGGUUGUAAAGCUCUUUUACCUGGGAAGCGGUACCAGGAGAAUAAGCCCCGGCUAACUUCGUGCCAGCAGCCGCGGUAAUACGAAGGGGGCUAGCGUUGUUCGGAUUUACUGGGCGUAAAGGGCGCGUAGGCGGGCGAUUAAGUCAGGGGUGAAAUCCCAAGGCUCAACCUUGGAACUGCCUUUGAUACUGAUUGUCUUGAGUCCGGGAGAGGUGAGUGGAACUGCGAGUGUAGAGGUGAAAUUCGUAGAUAUUCGCAAGAACACCAGUGGCGAAGGCGGCUCACUGGCCCGGACUGACGCUGAGGCGCGAAAGCGUGGGGAGCAAACAGGAUUAGAUACCCUUGUAGUC
rnacentral:rRNA from 1 species